rnacentral:lncRNA from 10 species
GGUACAUUGGACCGCCUCAGCUCAGAGGCCCCGCGGACCCUGGGCCCCGCGAUGCCCGAGGGGCGGGCGGCGCCCUCCGGAUCCUGCACCCUCAGCCCGUGCCCCGCUGGCCUCCUGGCAGGCCGGGCAGAAUUCUGCUGCGAGGGCCCUGGAGGCAAGGGCCUUCCUCUCCGUUUUUCCUUGACACUGACGGGCGCGGCCCCACAGGGUUUCCCCCACGCUCCCUGGCCGGAAGACCUUUUCUGUCUGGUGUCUGCAGAGCCUGACGUGGGCAGCGCCCGCAGCUCGCGCCGGUGCAGGGGAGCUGAGGGCCGACUGCGCGCUGCACCACGGCGGCCACCUGCUGUGCGGUUCUGAGGGCUUCCGCGGUUCUGAGGGCUUCCGCGUCCCUGCCAUGCCCAUCUUGGGGCUUCAGAAGCCAACACGAUGGUUUUCGGGCUCACAUCCCAAAGGCUGCUCUUCCUUUUAGCACCUGGGACCUACCAGGAACCUCAACCUCUAACAACAUUGGUCCCCGUUACCGUGGAGUUUGCGCCCAGCGUUCGCUGGAGGGCCGUUUGAAGAAUGAUUGUUGUCGUAAAGGCCUUUGAUAAUAAUAGAUACUGUUUACCCAGUGCUUGAUGCCAGGCAUUGCUACAAACACUGCGUACACAUUAUUCUAUUUAAUCUUCAUAACCCAGUGAGGAUAUCAACCAGGAUAUGGCAUUGCAUUGGAUCCCAACCAGGAUAUGACGUUACAUUGGAUCCCAACCAGGAUAUGGCAUUGCACUGGAUCCCAACCAGGAUAUGGCAUUGCACUGGAUCCCAACCAGGAUAUGGCAUUGCGUUGGAUCCCAACCAGGUUAUGGCAUUACAUUGGAUCCCAACCAGGUUAUGGCAUUGCAUUGGAUCCCAACCAGGAUAUGACAUUGCAUUUACUCAUCACGCCUCCUUAGGUUCCUCUUGGCUGUGACGGUUUCUCAGACUAUCCUUGUUUUUUAGGACCUUGACAGUUUUGAGGCAUACUGGUAUUGGAAAACCCAAGCAUUGACUCUCCAGACCAGCCUCGCACCUAAGAACGCCGUGGGAUGCAGUUUCAGACAGUGAGAAAUCUGCUGGGGAUGCCUGGGAAAGGGACAUACCUGGCAGGUGCCGCUCCAUGGCCUUCUUGCUGCCUUGAAUUGGGACAUGAGCCUGAGUCGCAGCAGCCGUCUUGUGACUGAGAGGUGGCAAGCAGGAGGAAGAGGCUAAGAGAAUAGAGACACUGUUGAGCUGCUGAAGCACAGCAAGCGGCCACUUCUCUAUGCUUCUUGCUAUUUGACUGUUAAGCUAGUGCAAGUUACUUUUCUGGUCAGAAUGAAUUCAUAACUGAAACAUGCUUUAAAGUAUGACUAUUAUUAUUAAAUGCAGCAUAAGCUUUCCAUAGCUGCUACACGAUCACACCCACUGCUGUCUCAGACUGACCAGUGGCCGACUAAACAUGACAGCAAGUACUGUUGCCAGCCUCUGCCUUCUUAUACUUGUGGAGUUUGUUUAAAUCUAAAUUCAGGACUCACCCUGUUAAAUUUUAUCUCCUUAGCUUGUCCCCUUCUUUUCAGAGAUU